rnacentral:tRNA from 2 species
GAUUAAAUGGCUGAAGUUUAGGCGGUAGACUGUAAAUCUAUUUAUAAGAAUUUAUUCUUUUUAAUCA